UGUGGAACUCUUGAUUGUAUUUCAAUGAAAUGAUGUGCUUUGAGAUAGUCAAGUGGAUUUUGUUUAGUAAUAAGCGUUGCCUGUGUUACAUGAAUAGCAAGAGCAAACUGGCAGUGGCCACAAAAUCAAAGAAAGGUUGUACAACCGACGGACAUGCUCAUUCAGAUAACCAGAGAUUCAUUUCCAACCAUCAGAAGGCAGUGAAGAGCGAAAUAAUGUCAGUUCCAGUGUUCAACCUCACUCCUAGUUUGACAGUUUCAAGGCUAUGCUUAGGAAGUAUGACAUUCGGCGAGCAAAACUCAUUGCUUCAAUCCUUUUGCCUUCUCGAUGAAGCCUUCCAUACCGGAAUUAAUUUCUUUGAUUCAGCUGAAAUGUAUCCGGUGCCUCAGCGUGCCCAUACUCAAGGGAGAAGCGAGGAGUACCUUGGCCGUUGGAUACGAGAAAGGAAGCUUCCACGUCACCGUCUUGUCUUAGCUUCUAAGGUUGCCGGGCCUUCUGGCCAAAUGACUUGGAUUCGAGGUGGACCUGAGUCUUUGGAUGCCAAGAAUAUCACUGAAGCUAUUGAUAACAGCUUACUGCGAUUACAAACUGACUACAUUGAUCUUUAUCAAAUACAUUGGCCUGACCGCUAUGUUCCAAUGUUUGGAGAAACCGAGUAUCAUCCGACCCGACAGUUCUCUUCAGUGAGUAUAGAGGAACAACUCGAUGCGCUUGGCAGAGCUGUUGAUGCUGGCAAGAUCAGAUACAUUGGACUUAGUAAUGAAACAUCAUAUGGUAUCAUGAAAUUCCUUCAGGUUGCUGAAAGGAUAGCUUGCUAUCCAAAAAUAGUUUGUGUGCAGAACUCGUACAGCUUGCUCUGCCGAACUUUUGAUUCUGUACUAGCUGAGUCCUGUCAUCAUGAAGGAAUCAGCUUAUUGGCAUACAGCCCCUUGGCAAUGGGCAUACUUUCUGGGAAGUAUUUUGCACCUGAUGGGGGCCCAGUAGAUGCCCGUUUAAAUCUUUUUAAAGGAAGGUAUUCAGAAGGGGAAUCAAGAUACAACCUAUCAAAUCACAUGAUAAAAGCAGCUACUAUGGAUAGCCUAACAUGCGUACUUUAGUGUUCGGAAGUGGUUUGGGCCUUAAAAUAAGAAAAAGUGUUAUGUGCAAGUGCUUCUUGUUCAUGUGUGUCUUCAACAAUUUUGUUAUGGUUUUGGAUUGAGCUUAUAUCUUAAUUAGUAACUAUCCAAAGGCAUGGGUUACAGAAAGCAGAUGGGAAGCAUGCAAAGGGUUCUAUACAAUGAAUACAUUGGUAUAGCGAAAAAAUAUGGUCUUCAUCCUGUGUCGCUUGCAAUUGCUUUUGUUUUGAGACAUCCUCUAGUUGCAAGUACAGUAUUUGGAGCUACCAGGUCUUGGCAACUCCAGGAAAUUAUCAAUGGUUGCAAGGUUGAGCUUAAACCAGAAA